CAAGAAACGACGCCACCGCACCACCAAUUUUCCCAUUACAACAUACAGAAAAGAAAAAUCUCUAUCAUCAUUUUUCUCAAGAAAAUAAAAAGCGUGUUGUUUUCCUUUCUUUCUCUGUCUUUAUCUCUUUGCCUAAUUGCCUUUGAAAGGAGACCAAAGUGGAGGUUCUUUUUUUUUUUUGUUAAUUAUUCUACUGGUAUAGUUUUUCUCAUCACCUUAUCUCUCCUCCUUCCAUCUUUAUAAAGUCCCAUACACGAAACCAUGAGAAAAAAUAUUUCCCUGUGGGGAUUCUGAGGGAAGUUAUGGUCUUGGGCUUGUGUGUUCUUACUCAAACCAUAGGUUUCAUCUUGGCAGCUUACAUCCAUGGAAGCAGAUAGGCAGAAGCUCUGUGACAAUCUUGUUGGUUCUAAAUUCUUUCUUUCUGGAUUCUAUUGCUGGGGUUGGGAAUUCUUGACUGCUCUCCUGCUCUUUAGUUGCUCCAUCUAAUCAAAUUCUUUCUUUCUUCCCUGUUUAUUUGCUCUGCAUAGGUAUAUAGUUUUUUUUUUCCUUCUGGUUUAGAUAUUUGUUUGUGUUCCUGGGUGGGUUGGUGAGGGUUAAAUCGGGAACAAAUGGCGCAGCGGUCAGUUCCGGCGCCGUUUUUGACGAAAACGUAUCAGUUGGUGGAUGAUCCGGGCACUGAUGAUGUGAUUUCCUGGAAUGAAACUGGCAACACUUUUGUGGUCUGGAAAACUGCAGAAUUUGCUAAGGAUUUCCUUCCUAAUUGCUUCAAGCACAACAACUUCUCCAGCUUCGUUAGGCAGCUCAACACCUAC
rnacentral:misc_RNA from 1 species